GCUGCUCAAACCUUCACACACCUCUUCGUGGUGAGCAGUAGGCAACGAUCUAUGAUCGGCAGAGAUGUGAAG
rnacentral:ribozyme from 1 species